GGCCUUAUGGUCUAGUCGCAUGAUUCCUCGUUUGGGUCGGACAUUCGAGGAGGUCCUGGGUUCAAUUCCCAGUGAGGCCC